CCUACGGGUGGCAGUAGUGGGGAAUAUUGGACAAUGGGCGAAAGCCUGAUCCAGCCAUGCCGCGUGUGUGAAGAAGGCCUUCGGGUUGUAAAGCACUUUCAGUGGGGAAGAAAGCCUUGGGGCUAAUACCCUCGAGGAAGGACAUCACCCACAGAAGAAGCACCGGCUAACUCCGUGCCAGCAGCCGCGGUAAUACGGAGGGUGCGAGCGUUAAUCGGAAUUACUGGGCGUAAAGCGCGCGUAGGCGGUCUGAUAAGCCGGUUGUGAAAGCCCCGGGCUCAACCUGGGAACGGCAUCCGGAACUGUCAGGCUAGAGUCCAGGAGAGGAAGGUAGAAUUCCCGGUGUAGCGGUGAAAUGCGUAGAGAUCGGGAGGAAUACCAGUGGCGAAGGCGGCCUUCUGGACUGACACUGACGCUGAGGUGCGAAAGCGUGGGUAGCAAACAGGAUUAGAUACCCGGGUAGUC
rnacentral:rRNA from 1 species